GUGUAGAUUCUAUUUCGUGUGAAGGUUGUUGAUGGAGGCAGUUCAGGUUAACAUGCAUGGACGCAAGAGAGUCCCAUCUAUUUAAUUUUGUUCCGAUGUCAUUACUGUAUUUAAAUGGGAAUUCUGAAGUUACUAUCUUGAUUAUAAGUGGUGACAUAAUUAAAUUGCUUCAUUUAUAUGCUGGAACUAUAAAUCUUACAUGAAAGCACUGAUUACUUAUAAGGUUUGUUCAUUUAUGUAUGUAAAAUGGAGAAUUUUAGCUCAUUGAGUGUAAAGGUAUUGUUCCAGUCUAAGUACAUUACCAUGAAAUGUAGCUAGUUUGAGCUUAUAUUAUCUCCUGUAUAUACAUUUCUUUCUUUACAUGUUGACUGAGAACUCCCUUCUAAUUAAAGUGAUGAAUAUGCGGCUUCUUGUGAUGGAAUAAACAAUGUUCAGGCUAAAAUGAAAAUUUCCUCAGCUUUUAUAUUUGGUUCUGUUAUCUGGAGGAUGGUAAGAUCACAUACUUCAUACAAUAAAGAUUAUGGUAUAUUUUGUAUCAGGUCCUAUUAAUAAAGAUUAGUGUAGCAUCAACAUGUACUUUUGAUUGCACGAGAAACGGAAGAAGAGUAAUUUUUCUUUUCCUCAAACUUCUUUUUACUAAAUAGCA
rnacentral:misc_RNA from 1 species